GACGAACGCUGGCGGCGUGCUUAACACAUGCAAGUCGAGCGGUAAGGCCCCUUCGGGGGUACACGAGCGGCGAACGGGUGAGUAACACGUGGGUGACCUGCCCUCAGCUCUGGGAUAAGCCUGGGAAACUGGGUCUAAUACCGGAUAUGACUCCAUGACGCAUGUCGUGGGGUGGAAAGCCUUGUGCGGCUGGGGAUGGGCCCGCGGCCUAUCAGCUUGUUGGUGGGGUGAUGGCCUACCAAGGCGACGACGGGUAGCCGGCCUGAGAGGGCGACCGGCCACACUGGGACUGAGACACGGCCAGACUCCUACGGGAGGCAGCAGUGGGGAAUCUUGCGCAAUGGGCGAAAGCCUGACGCAGCGACGCCGCGUGAGGGAUGACGGCCU
rnacentral:rRNA from 1 species